rnacentral:rRNA from 1 species
GACGAACGCUGGCGGCGUGCCUAACACAUGCAAGCCGAGCGGAGAAAGUUCUUCGGAACUUUCUUAGCGGCGGACGGGUGAGUAACACGUGGGUAACCUGCCUUAUAGAGGGGGAUAGCCUUCCGAAAGGAAGAUUAAUACCGCAUAAUAUUUUUGUUUCGCAUGAAAUGAAAAUCAAAGGAGCAAUCCGCUAUGAGAUGGACCCGCGGCGCAUUAGCUAGUUGGUGAGGUAACGGCUCACCAAGGCGACGAUGCGUAGCCGACUUGAGAGGGUGAUCGGCCACAUUGGAACUGGGAUACGGUCCAGACUCCUACGGGAGGCAGCAGUGGGGAAUAUUGCACAAUGGGGGAAACCCUGAUGCAGCAACGCCGCGUGAGUGAUGAAGGCCUUCGGGUUGUAAAGCUCUGUCUUCGGGGACGAUAAUGACGGUACCCGAGGAGGAAGCCACGGCUAACUACGUGCCAGCAGCCGCAGUAAUAC